UUGAAACUGGAGGCCAAAGCUCCCUAUUGGGUAUACCUGUGAGCACCUGGCCCUUCCUUUUUAUCACUGAGAGAUGCACUGUGCCUACAAAGAUCUUCACAGAAAUGUGUUGCUUGGUUUCCAGAACAAUCCCAAAUACCUCUGCUGGAAUCCACCAACCUGCUAGUUCCAGAACCUCCGCUGGUAUAAAACAGGAGGGUCUUAUUUACUUUUAUGGAACCACAGCUGUUUACACUUCUUGCACAGCUGACCUUCAUGUUUGAACCAAAGUUUCCACUUACCUUUACAACACUGACAGGAAACCACCAGGACUAGGAUGACCAGGAGAGCUGUCCUCAUGGUGACUUUGAAGAGGGUUUUCUUCUGGAGUUGAGUUGUUUCUGUCUUCUCCUGGGAGCUGCAAAGUGAUACGCUGGAGCCAAUGAGCUAUCACACUUGGACUUCUGCUUCUAGCAAAGACACCCAUGCUGGACAGAUCACAAAGCUGAAGCUAUACAUGAAGUAGUCUCCUUCUCAUCCAGAUCUGGGGAUUGAGCCUGAGGCUGACAAUCCACUAUGUGAAAAUAUCCUUGUCACAAAAAUAAAGGAAAGAUCUCACCAGGCUCAGUCUCAGAUCCUUGUGUCAGAGGGUAGUGCCCCAGUGAACCAUAUGACAGGUACUAGCUACACUAGUGUCUCAAAAAUUCCACUGCCCCAGACUUGUUUUACCCAACCCAGAGAUGGUA